rnacentral:rRNA from 1 species
GUGGGGAAUAUUGGACAAUGGGCGAAAGCCUGAUCCAGCCAUGCCGCGUGUGUGAAGAAGGUCUUCGGAUUGUAAAGCACUUUAAGUUGGGAGGAAGGGCAGUAAGUUAAUACCUUGCUGUUUUGACGUUACCGACAGAAUAAGCACCGGCUAACUUCGUGCCAGCAGCCGCGGUAAUACGAAGGGUGCAAGCGUUAAUCGGAAUUACUGGGCGUAAAGCGCGCGUAGGUGGUUUUUUAAGUUGGAGGUGAAAUCCCCGGGCUCAACCUGGGAACUGCCUCCAAAACUGCAUGACUAGAGUACGGUAGAGGGUAGUGGAAUUUCCUGUGUAGCGGUGAAAUGCGUAGAUAUAGGAAAGAACACCAGUGGCGAAGGCGACUACCUGGACUGAUACUGACACUGAGGUGCGAAAGCGUGGGGAGCAAACAGGAUUAGAAACCCGAGUAGUCC